rnacentral:rRNA from 1 species
UACGUAGGGUGCAAGCGUUAUUCGGAAUUACUGGGCGUAAAGCGUGCGCAGGCGGUGAUGUAAGACAGAUGUGAAAUCCCCGGGCUCAACCUGGGAACUGCAUUUGGGACUGCAUCGCUGGAGUGCGGCAGAGGGGGAUGGAAUUCCGCGUGUAGCAGUGAAAUGCGUAGAUAUGCGGAGGAACACCGAUGGCGAAGGCAAUCCCCUGGGCCUGCACUGACGCUCAUGCACGAAAGCGUGGGGAGCAAACAGG